UCAUGGAGGACGACCAGGCACGCAGUGAGGCAACGAACCCCAGCCAGGGGCCAAAGAUGAGGAGGAAGUGUGCAAGGAGGUGGAACGGCCAUUUACUGCGCCUACCAUGGUGACCACGGGUAACGGGGAAUCAGGGUUCGAUUCCGUACAGAAACCCUGACAAGCGGCUACCACAUGCAAGGAAGGCAGCUGGCACGCAAAUGACCCACUCCUGACACGGGGAGGUAGUGACGA